UCUCUGCCUCCUUCCUCAGGUUCCUCACCAGCACAUCUCCAUACUGGCCAAUGACGGGGAACAUCUAGACAGAAAAUAAGACGCCCUCAAAAUAAAUGCCAAGAUAACUGUGGCAUUGCAAGAGGCUUUUGGUCCUGUAAGCUACUGGAGAGUGUUUACCACACACUUGGCACGAACUCUGAGGCCCUUUUGCCCUUUGGUAUGAAAAGGCAUCAGGGCGGCUGGGAUGAAACGUGAGCAUUUACCUCUGCCACUGCAGGACAGGCAGUCAAGGCUGUGACAGUCUUGAGUGAGGAAGACCCAUCAAGACCCUUUGAGCUGCAUGUCCAUGUGACUGAAGAUGGCUAUGGCUGGGGCCUCUGGCAGUGGCUCGCAGGCCAUUUGCCUUCAGCAUCCCCAGGGAAUGGUGAAGCAGACGACUUGGUCCAUGACAGAAGACAAUGUGGACUAUAGCCCACUGGGAGACCUGCCCAACUUUUAGAGAAGUCAGCAGAGCCUUAGCAGAUGUGCAUUGUGACUGCAUCUCACAGCCACGCCUUGGACAUUUUGACACAUGGACCAGUGAUGGCUGGCCAAUCUGACACCUUGGGGAGAAGGCUUGGAAACUGGUGUCCUGUGUGUUCCUGGAAUAACUACAGAGUGGUCCUCCCAAAUUCUGGUAGUGUACCCAAAAUGGUAAGAGUAUUUUACCAGGGAGUUUUGUCUUAUCACUGUGGCCAGUGCAUGUGGCUCCCGUAGCCCUUCAUAUCAACCCAUGAGUAACUCCCACAGGAGAGGGGUGAAGGUCUGGUAUGCUAAAGCAGGAUGGGACCCAAUUCCUGCCACUGUCUUAUCACAGGACCACUCUCUUACAUGCAUCCUACCUGAUGGACAUUUGUCUCUGAAGAUGCCAUUAAAACAUGUUCUUAUUACCCUUAUGGUAAUUCUCUUCUACAGUUGUAGUUGACUGGGCAUGCCCUCCAGCAACAGCUGCUGCCUGCUUCGCAUGCCUGGAGACCCCUGCCGGUUCAGCUGCUGGCCUCCCGUGGACAUGUGAGUUACGGACUCAGUCUGAGAAGGACUUUGAAUGCAGCUGGCUCCACAGGCUUGAGGACUGUCAUGGUUUUUGUUAGGCUGGAGGAAGGAAAAAGAAGGACAUGCAAACAGAACAGAGAGAUGCCAUAGGGGGAGAAAAGACCAGACCCCAAGGUCCAUGCCUUAUAUGGAAAGGGGACAGCUCUUCCUGAAUUCCAUCCUUCUAAUGUGCCAACUAAGACCCGGAUGUCAGCCUCCUCCCUCUUGGAAGGAAAAAAGUUUCUAGUUAUCUAUCAUGUCACCUUUAGCCAAUCAAACCUCUCCACGCCCCCUAGGAUAACUUGCCCACUCCUCCCCCUCCUAAUCCCUUAUAAGCCCCCACCUCCCUGACCGGGUGUGACUUCUCCGGCCUGUAAUGCCCAGGCCGUGGAACAUCACCUGGGGGUGCACUCAAAUAAACUACCUGGCCCUUUGUUGCCUCUCUUCGCCUGCUUAUUUCGGCUAAAGUUUAUCUUACAUUUGGUGCCAAAACCCGGGAAGGAGUGUGAGUGCAGAGCCCCAACCGGCCACCGGUGGCCGCACCCCCUCCUUCCUUGACCCAGGACCUCAGCCUGCUCUCUGCUGCAUGGACUAUUUUCCGGUGAGUCCCUCAGUUUCCCCCGGUCUGUUUCCCUCCCUAACUGCAUUUCACCUGGUCCGUUAGAAAUCGUACAUAUGUCCAGGUGGCCCACCCUCUGCAGGCAUCCGGCCCGCCCCUGGCCCUGUGGUGGGGGAGACGUCCCUCACCCAGGCUCCCAGGACGUCUCCCCUGAUUUGGCGCUCUUGGGACGCUGGGCGCUCCUCUCAGGGGGAUUAGUUGGGGAGUGGCGCAGACACGAGGAACCAGCCCUCAAAAGCAGAGGCUCAGACCCCACUGUGGUGUCUCAUUUCUAAUUUGGCUACUCUAUAUUUGUCCCGGGAAGUUUGCACAUACAAGCUAGUCUUCCUUUGCUCUGAGGCCGGGCCUGAGUAUCCCUUGGACAUCAAUCUCGCUGGCCCCCUGAGGGAACUUUCAAUUUUAGUCUCCUCACCAUCUUGAUUAAUUAUUGCCACUGGAGCGGAGAGUAGAGUGAAAUCUCAUAUGUGCAGGCUUUUUGGACUUUGCAUUCCCAUCCAGACCUUAAUGUUUUCAAUGACUCAGGUUCUCCUAGCCCUAUCUCCAGUUAAAGAUUGUCAGCCUCUUACUCUGCUCAGUCCUUCCUUUUCAGAUCCACCAGAAGACCUCAGUCAUCUGCCUCCCUCAGCUCGCGAUCCCCUCCCCCUCUCUACACCACCAUCUUUAAGUCCUUUGUCUUCACACAUGUCGCCGCCAUCUUAAAGUCCUGCAUUCUCAACCAUGCCACUGUCCUGCUCCUCUCCUCUUCCGGUGGCUGCACCACCCCCUCCCCCUCUCCUUCCGCCUUCACCGCCCUCUUCCCCCACCAGAACACGCCCCUCCUGCCCUCUGGUUCCAGAAGUCACAGACAAGAAGCUGAGGAGAGGGAAGGCAAUUGCAUAUCAGUGACUCAAGUCUUCACAUCGGUCUGUCUGUGUAUAUGUUUUUGUGUGGGAGGUGUUGCUGACUCUAGUCGUAUCUCAGUUUGUACAUUUGUGUGUCUAGGUGUAUAGAUGAAAAAUAUUUUAUUUAAAAACAAGCACUUGUGAAAAUUGGGCAUCCUAAAACUUCCAAAAAAUCUGAUAAAAAUGUUAAGCAUUAAUGCUAAUUUGGAUUUGGCUGAGGCGGGCAUGUCCUUGUUGUUAUCAGCUGCCUAAGUUUACCUAAUGUCAUUUCAGUUGAUGUUAUCUCUAAAUAUUUUAAGAAUAAAAUGCUUAAAGGCUUG